CUUGUUUAGUUUAGAGAAGAGAAGGCUGUGGGGAGACCUCAUUGUGGCUUUCCAGUACUUGAGUAGAGUUUACAAACAGGAGAGGAAAACUUCAAACCAAAGGAAAAGCAGAAAAAGAAAAUUUGUUCAAGAUUUUCUAAGCUCCAUUGGGAACGUGAUUUCAGAUGCACUGUCAGCUUUCCAACUCACACCUGAGUUCAUGUGGAAACCAAAGGCAAAUGUUCCUGUGCCCGUACCCACAGAAAAAGAAGAGGGAAGGGAAUAGAGAGAAGAAAUCUAAACAUACUUUGUCAAUUGUGAGUUCAAGUCCCUGAAUUUUACUGUAUUCAUAAUGGCUGAAGAGGACAAGUUAUAUAAGAAAUUCAGAGAGCAGAGAACUUGGGAAAACAGAAUGGAGAAAAUGGAAACUGUGGUUGACCUGGCACCAGUUUUGACAGAGAAACCAGUGGGAGAUGAUCACAAGUCAGCGGUUACUAUGCAGAAAAUUUCAAGGAGAUAAUGCUAAGGCAGUUAAACUACAGACAGUACUUUCUUAGAAAAAUGUUGUGCUAUGCAGUAAAAAAAAAAAAAAAAA